UGGGGAAUAUUGCACAAUGGGCGCAAGCCUGAUGCAGCCAUGCCGCGUGUGUGAAGAAGGCCUUCGGGUUGUAAAGUACUUUCAGCGGGGAGGAAGGGAGUAAAGUUAAUACCUUUGCUCAUUGACGUUACCCGCAGAAGAAGCACCGGCUAACUCCGUGCCAGCAGCCACGGUAAUACGGAGGGUGCAAGCGUUAAUCGGAAUUACUGGGCGUAAAGCGCACGCAGGCGGUUUGUUAAGUCAGAUGUGAAAUCCCCGGGCUCAACCUGGGAACUGCAUCUGAUACUGGCAAGCUUGAGUCUCGUAGAGGGGGGUAGAAUUCCAGGUGUAGCGGUGAAAUGCGUAGAGAUCUGGAGGAAUACCGGUGGCGAAGGCGGCCCCCUGGACGAAGACUGACGCUCAGGUGCGAAAGAGUGGGGAGCAAACAGG
rnacentral:rRNA from 1 species